rnacentral:rRNA from 1 species
GACGAACCGUGCGAACGUUGUUCGGAAUCACUGGCUUAAAGGGCGCGUAGGCGGCUCGCCAAGUCCGGGUGAAAGCCUCCAGCUUAACUGGAGAAGUGCCUUGGAACUGGCGGCUCGAGCGAGAUAGGGUCGUGGGAACUUCCGGUGGAGCGGUGAAAUGCGUUGAUAUCGGAAGGAACGCCGGUGGCGAAGCGCACGACUGGAUCUCUCUGACGCUGAGGCGCGAAAGCCAG